GGUUAAUUGAGAUGGGAUCAUCCACUGCAGAUGGCAUCAUUUCCUGUGUUAGAAUCCUGACACAAUCUGAAAACAUGCUGUCACUGUUCUCUCGGCUACAGAGAGAGCAGCAGCCUCCAGGUCCGGCUGCUGUGGCUUUCCAGCCACGGUGGGCUGUACAAGGGGACUGAGAGAUUAAAAGGCCCUUUCUCUCUUAAGUUUUAUUAGGGCAUUUCAUCAUAGCAACAGGAAAAAGCAACUAAGGCAGCUGCCUGUCAGGAUUCAGAAUCAUCUCAGAGUCAAGCCCCAGGGAAUGUUAACUGCGAAGCUUAACUGAGAAGGGGAGACCCAAUCUGAAUAUGGGCAGCCCCAUUCUCCCAGCUGCAGCCAGGACUGCAUAAAAAGGAGAAAAAGGCAAGCACCAGCACUCACCUAUCUCGGCUUCCCAAUGAGCCACCCCAGGCUCCUUCCCUUGCUGUGACAGACAGCACCGUCUCCCUGUGAGCUCAGAUGAAUUCUUCCUCUUUUAGUUGAUUUUGGUAAGCAUUUUCUUUUCAAAGAAACAAGAAAAAUAAUGCAAAAAAUAUUUCAAUGCCAUAUCGAGACAUAAAUGACAUAGUGAACUGCAUCUGUCCAAAGGGUACAAUUCUAGAAUUGUAACUUAAUGAUUUUAUGUCUCAAUGAAAUUUGUCUAUCACCUCCAAAGUCUCUUACUUCUACCUCGCACCCAUCUGCAGUGGUGUGCGCUUUGCCUUCACCAACUUUAGCUUUUAAUGGAUCUUAUUUCCUUAUUUAGAUCUGUGUGUUUGUGUGUGUGUGUGUGUGUGUGUGUGUGUGUGCGCGCGCGCGCGCGCGUGUGCACUCACAUGCUGCCCAGGGCUGUGCAGGAAGAACAAAUGGCUUUAGAACUGAUAGAAUUCGGCCCACUGGUCACCACAGCUACAUGGGUGAGCCUUGGAGAGCUAAACCCUGAGGACUGUGAGUCCUGAGGACUUCAUGCUGAUAUGGAGUUCUCUCUGCUUGCUGCCUUCACAUCCCUGUUAAUCUAAGAACUGUAUGAAAACUCCAAGGGGGCAUCCAGCCACUCACUGGGCAAUCUCACUGGGACUCACAAUAAUGGUGUUUGAUCUCUUUUCGGCAUCUGCUGGAGCAGAUUAAUGAUCCAGUCAGCACCCUUGGGAAGAACUAGGAGACGAUUGUUAGUAAUGACCGCUGUUCUUAGAAAACAUUUGGAAAAAUAAAGUUGCUAGUGAAGCUCGGUUAAGUUGCUUUUGCUACUGGCUCUGAUGUAGAAAAAUCUUAGGGAAUAACUUGAAGUUCAGAAAGGCACACUCUUAUUAGUUAAGCUAGGGACUUUUUAAGACCAGGGAACAAGAACAAUGGCAGCACUGGCUGUUGUGACUCUCACUGAGGCUGGACUGGUGAUGACUGAUUUCUUAUGCCCAUUUUUGACCUCAGCUUCCUGAUAUGAUUUAAUAAGUAGACAUGUCUUCUGAGGAUUUAAAGUUGAUAUGACUGAUUCUUAUGUAAAAGUUUAGAUUUGUGAUUCUUUUAAAGAUAAGCAAUAAAAUAAUCCUUUCUUUGUAAUCACAAACUGCCGUCUGACAGUAAGAGAAGCUGGCUGAGAAAACUAUCUUGCUUGCUCACAGUUUGUUAAUUUAUAACAUGUUGCUUAGUUACAGAUGUACAUGGGUUCUUAGGAAUAAUUUGUUUUCUCUACCUGUACUGUGCAAUCUUUUUUCCUGUAAAAGUAUUGGGGAAAUACUGUUUUUCAUAGUCAUUCACUAGAAGAAAACUAAAUCGUAACCACACUGUAAUUUCAUACUGCUUGAAAGAUUUUUCUGGGAUAUAUACGCUACGGGAGAAGAAUAAAGUUGUUGGAGCUCUGUUCCUUCCGUCUAAUCUGCAUGCAUGUAUAUAUGUAAAGCUUGUGUGGGUGUGUAUGUUUGUGUGUAUGUGUAUGUGUGUGUAUGUUUGUGUGUGUGUAUAUGUGUGUGUCUGUGUGUUUGUGUAAUACUUAGAGCCUGCUUCAGGAGCUUUGCUACAGGCAUUCAAUGUGUGAUGAUAUAUAUGUAUGCAUGUCUGCAUGUAUGUAUGUAUUUGUAUGUAUGAGGUUGUUGGAGUCUAUGCUCAGUGGUGUGUGUGUGUGUGUGUGUGUGUGAUUUUUCUCUUUCCUUUUCUUUCUAGCCAGCCCCUAAGAGUUUUUCUGACCACAGGGAAUGCCAGCUCCAAUGUUCCUUCAGAGAAAAGUCAGAUGAGUAAUUUCUUUAAUGCUGGCUACCAUAGUCAGCAGCCUCUGUUGGUCGCUACCUGGACCAACCCCUGUCAGUCCCUCUCAGUGCUGAACCUGUCAGCCCCUCUUAGUGCUGACCCCCACUGAUGCCACAGUUCACUGUCUCAGAGUCCAGAAGAGGGUGUUCGAACUUCUGAAGCUGGGUUUGCAGAGAGCUGUGACCUGCCCAACAUGGGUGUUGUUUCACUCAGGUCCUCUGUAAGAGCAUCUGAGCUCUUCUGAGCCCUGUCUCUACUCAACAUUCAUUUUUAUUGACAAGGGAUAUUCAGUUGUCGGGUCACUGACUGUACUUAACACAUUCAACUAUUGAUGAAUAUUUGAGUCAUUAUGAGUUUGGGGAUUUUACAAGUAAAACAACAAUGAUUCUUAUGUGCAAAGUCCUUUUGCAGACAUGAGCUUUCAUUUUCCUUGCGUAAAUGCUUUGGGGUAGAAAUUUUGGGUCCUGUGAUUGGGACACAUUUAAUAUUCUAAGAAAUUAGCAUGCUGGUUUGAAAAUAUUUUUUUUGUAUCCAUCAGUAGUCAAUGGGAGUUCUAGAUAAUCUAUGUCCUGGCUAACAUUUGUUAGGGUGAAUAUGGAGUUAUUUUAAUGAGCGUACAACUUACCAUGUAUGAUUUUGUUUUGUAUUUCCCUCAUUUCUUAUAACUUAGCACUUCUGAGGAAGGAGUACAAGCCAGGGGUUUUGUUAAAUAUUUCCCUGAAUGAGUUGUGAAGAAGUCUUAGUCCCCAAGGCCUCUCGCCAUAGAUACCAUCUUUCAUUGUCCUUGAAGAGACAAGAAAGGUUAAAUAAUGGCCUUGGUGUAGGUUGACCCGUGUGAUACAGAGAAUCAAGAGAAGAUCAUGUGACAACACAAAGAAAAGAUGGCUGCCUCUAGGCCAGUGAGCAUUGCUUGGAAGGUGUGACCCUUGCUUGGCACCUUUGACCUCAAUGUUCUCAUGGUUGUGUUUUGUUUCCCUUGUAUGUUUGUGUGUCUUGUAGGUUUCUGUUGAAAGAAAGCAUGAUAUGCUGGAAAUGCAUCUUAGGCAGACAAGUUUGAAGUUAAUGUUUGCUAAAUUGUGUGGAAGACUUUAAUGAAUUCUUUUAUUGUCCUCGCUUUGUCAGCCCUGUGGGCUUCCAUAAAGUUUUAAAUGGUUGGAACCUUUGCAAUUCCUUCAGUCACAGUCUACGUUUUUUAAAUUUAAUUUUAUAUAUUUUAUGUGCAUGGGUGUUUUGUCCACGUGUAUAUCUGUGCAUCAUUGUGCGCCUAGUGUCCUUGGAGGCCAGAGAAAAGCAUUGGGCUCCCAAAGACUAAAGUUACAGAUGGUUGUGAGAGACCAUGUGAGUGCUGGGAUUUGAACCUAGGUCCUCUGGGAGAACAGUUAGGGUUCUUAACCAUUGAGCCAUUUUAGCCAUUUUUUCCAGCUACAUUUGUUGGCUUUCCGACUGACUUUUCCCCCACAUUUUAUGGUACAAUUUCAUAUGCACUGUUCUACAUACACUAAAGUCAUUAUAAUGUAAGGACUCUUCCAAUAUGAAUAACCUUGAAACUUAAGAGAAGAUCAUUUGUCUAUUAUGUUUUUAUCGUAAAAAUAACUAUGAUGGUUAGUUUUAUUUACCAAGUUGACACAGUCUAGAGUCAUGUGGGAAGAGAGUCUUUAUAAGGGACUAAGAUAGGUUGACCACGGGCGUGUCUCUGAGUAUUGUGUUGAAUAUUAAUUGGUGUAGGAAUACCCAGACUAAAAAUGGGGGGUGCCAUUCCCUAUAUUUGGGUCACAAGUUGUAUAGAAGUAGAGCUGGUCAGUAAGCAGCACACAUCAACUCUCUCUCAGCUCUUGACUAUGGGUGUGGCGUGAUUAGCCAAUGUAAGCCUUGCCCUUCCCACUUGGAACUGUAACCUCAAAUAAACUUCUUUCCCCUAAGGGAAAAGUUGCUUUUUAUCAUGCUAUGUCAUCACAGUGACAGAAAGGAGACCAGGACAAAAACCUUAUUGACAGCCCAUGACCUGAAAUCUGUAUUUCCUUUCUUGUCUCCUUGUGACUUUCUAAGCUUUAAGAAAACAUAGUUAGUUCAUCCUGUCAAUGCUCAGACCAUUGCUAUUUCUGCCUCCCAGUUCCUGCAACAUCCACUGUAAAUACUUCCUGUCUUAACCCAGGCAAGUGGGCAUGGCUUCUCCUGAGGACAACUGAACUAUAGCUAUCUUUUCUAAGUACUCACUCCUCUUGGUCAGCGAUUUUUACUCAGGGAGCUUGCUCUGUAAGUAUCCGACGGUUAAAUACCCCAAUCCCCAAAGCGAUGGAUUUAGGAGCUGAAGCUUUGGGGAGGUGAUUUGGUUGUAGAGGUGGACCCUUCUUGAGUAGAAUUGGUGCUGGUAUGAAAAAAACCUCCUGGGAGACUUUUUACCCACUACCAUGAGAGGACACAAGAUGUCAUCACAUAUGAGCCAGUAUAUAUGAUCUUAUCACUUACUAAAUCUGCUGGUAUCUUGAUUUUUUUCACAAUUUCUUGAUUUUGCAAGAAAUUACAAUUUCUAUAAAAUGUGAGAAAUAAAUUUUUAUGGCCUACAAGUUAUAUUGUCUUUGGUAUCUUGUGAGGGAAUCCUGACUAGACAAAGCAAAAGGGUUAUCAUAUAUAUACCCAGAAUGUAUGUACAAAAAUGUCCAUCAUCAUGGCAUUGUCUAUAAUAAUAAAAUGUAUGUAUGGAUGUAUUCAUUACAUCAUUGUCUAUAAUAACAAGUCUAAAAAGUUAGAUGUCUACUAAUGAGGAAUGGAUUAAAUACAACAUGUUACAACCACACCAUAAAGAUUCUAUAGCCACAGAGACUAAGGAAAUACAACUGUGUGUGCUCAUAUAGAAGAUUCUCCACACAUAUUGUCAAGUGCAAAGAAGUGUGGAUGGCAGGAGGUCGUAUGCAGAAUUCUCACGUGUAUGCAGAUCCACUCAAAGAAUAUUCCUACCACUUUAUAAGAAAUCAAUGUUUCUGAAUCUUAAACAGGGAGCUGGAGAUCGGGGGUGACUAGUGGUGUGACAUUUUAGGGGGACUUGCUUUUUGUUGUUUUGAAUCUUUGUUUUUACCGUGUUCAAGUAUGUUUCAGCCUAAAAUAAUCAGAUCUCCACUUCUGGCAAUGGUCAAGUAACAAAGACUGAAUUUGCUCUCUUGGAUCAAUGAUUUAAGAAGCAAGAAUCUGUGGCCUGGAGAGAUGGCUCAGUGGUUAAGAGCACUGACUACUCUUCCAGAGGUCCUGAGUUCAAUUCCCAGCAACCACAUGGUGGCUCACAACCAUCUGUAAAGAGAUCCGAUGCCUUCUUCUGGUAUAUCUGAAGACAGUUACAGUGUACUCAUAUAUAAUAAAUGAAUUAAAAAAAAAGUUAAAAAAAAAGCAAGAAUCUGUGAACAGAGUUAUCCAGACAGAGGACAGCAGUGAGCACAGGGCAAUGAUGUUGGAGAGAAGGGAGCUAAGCAAGAUGAACCAGGCUUGGGACCUGGAAAGUUUUCCCACCCAAGCUCAAGAAGAGACCUAGUGGUUCCGAGUGGAAGAGAAGCAGUGAGGGAAUUGAAAAGUCACUGCAGGUGACUGGACUUCUAAGGCUGCACAGCUGAGAGAGAAGAGCUGAGGGAAGAAGACUUCAAGAGGCCAGGAGAUGGCCACCCUGAGACUUUGAAACAUGAGGUGAAGAUGAAGCCGGAAGAGAACAUGAUCAGUAGACGGCAGAACACGAGUGCUCGCACAGACAGGGGCCAUGGCUCACACUCCCUAGGAACACACGGAGUGUUCAAGGGAGUCGGCUUCGUGGCAGAGUCAGGGCUGCUAUGACUUGCCGAGCAAAGCUUGCUGGCAUCAAACGGUUGCCAGGUUACUGAAUCCCACCCUCAUGCAAAGGUCAAAAAUAGUUAAAUUACAAGACAUCUAAAACCCGAAAGGGUGAAAUUCACUAUGUCUUGCAUUCAGGAAAAAUCAUCAGUCAUGCAAAUCUCAGAAAAUAGAACUUAAAAUGGGAGUGAAAAGUAGAGACCUAGAAAUGAUACAGACAAGGAUAUUACAGCAAUAUAAUAAUAUAAUAAAUAUAUAAUAAAUAAUAAAUAAGCAAUAUAAUAAAUUUAUUAUAACGUGUUUCAGACCGUAAAGACUACUUAUGUCAUGCACAUAUAUGGGAAAAUCUAAGAUGACCUAGGAUCUAAUUUUAGAAGUAAAAAGUGUACUAGAUAGUCUUUUCUUUUAAAAUAUUUAUUAUGUAUAGUAGUCUGCCUACAUGUGGGCCCAAAGCCAGAAAAGAGCGCCAGAUCCCAUUAUAGAUGGUUAUGAGCCACCGUGUGGUUGCCGGGAAUUGAACUCAGGACCUCUGGAAGAGCAGUCAGUGCUCUUAACCACUAAGCCAACUCCCCAGUCCUUAGAUAGUCUUAACUAGAUUGGAUACCAAAGGAGAGAAGAGAGUCAGAGUGUUCUACUGUAAACACAAAACAAAACAGAACAUCAUUGAGCGGUACGAAAACUUUCUAUAACAUUCCACACAUGUAUUUUGAGUUCCUAAAGAAUGUAUGUAGAAGACUAUUCUAAGAAAGAGUUGUCAAAAGUUUUCCAAAUUUGAUGGGAAAAACAAUGUAUUGAUCAAAGAAACUCCAAAUCACCUUAAACACAAAGAAAAACACACACACAAAGAAAAACACAUGUCUUAUAUAUCUUAGUAGCACUUCUUGUAACUAGUGACACACAUAAAAGCUCUCAAAGUCACCACUGAAAAACGACACAGGGACACUAGAGCCCGAAAGCAGGCUUCUCAGGGGAAACCGGAAGACAGAAGACAGUGGGAUCCUGCCCACUCAGUCUGCAGCUCAGAAGUGCACACACAGCCAAUGGCAUGUAAAUGAUAAACUUUCCAGACACACGAGAUCUGAAAGACUCUUCUAACAGAAGACCUCACCAGAGGAAAUGUUAGAGGAGGUCCUUCAGGCGGAUGGUAAGCAAAGUCAAACUGGAGACAGGUGAAUGAAGAAGGAGAAUAUAUAAGAGGAAAUAUAAGUCAGGUUUAUUUUCAAAAAUGCCUUAAAACAGAAUUGUUUAAAUAAAAAGAAAUGAAAUGAAGACA